rnacentral:rRNA from 1 species
UACAGAGGGUGCAAGCGUUAAUCGGAUUUACUGGGCGUAAAGGGCGCGUAGGCGGUUGUAUGAGUGUGAUGUGAAAGCCCCGGGCUUAACCUGGGAAGCGCAUCGCAAACGAAAUAACUGGAGUAUAUGAGAGGGUGGUGGAAUUUCCGGUGUAGCGGUGAAAUGCGUAGAGAUCGGGAGGAACACCAGUGGCGAAGGCGGCACCCUGGACCAGCACUGACACUGAGGCACGAAAGCGUGGGGAGCAAACAGG